AUACCAUGAUGUGGACAUUUUCGCAGUAGCUCUUUAAACCUCUCCCAAGCAUCAUAUAAUGAUUCUCCCUCAAAUUGACAGAAAUUAUUUAUUUCUCCUCUAAUCCGUGU